rnacentral:ncRNA from 1 species
GAACUGUAGAGUUUGAUCCUGGCUCAGAUUGAACGCUGGCGGCAUGCCUUACACAUGCAAGUCGAACGGUAACAGGUCUUCGGAUGCUGACGAGUGGCGAACGGGUGAGUAAUACAUCGGAACGUGCCCAGACGUGGGGGAUAACGAGGCGAAAGCUUUGCUAAUACCGCAUACGAUCUAAGGAUGAAAGCAGGGGACCGCAAGGCCUUGCGCGUUUGGAGCGGCCGAUGGCAGAUUAGGUAGUUGGUGGGAUAAAAGCUUACCAAGCCGACGAUCUGUAGCUGGUCUGAGAGGACGACCAGCCACACUGGGACUGAGACACGGCCCAGACUCCUACGGGAGGCAGCAGUGGGGAAUUUUGGACAAUGGG